UGGGGAAUAUUGCACAAUGGAGGGAACUCUGAUGCAGCGACGCCGCGUGAACGAAGAAGGCUUUCGAGUCGUAAAGUUUUUUUAUAUGGGAAGAUAAUGACGGUACCAUAAGAAAAAGCCCCGGCUAACUACGUGCCAGCAGCCGCGGUAAUACGUAGGGGGCUAGCGUUGUCCGGAAUCACUGGGCGUAAAGGGUUCGCAGGCGGAAAUGCAAGUCAGGUGUAAAAGGCAGUAGCUUAACUACUGUAAGCAUUUGAAACUGCAUAUCUUGAGAAGAGUAGAGGUAAGUGGAAUUUUUAGUGUAGCGGUGAAAUGCGUAGAUAUUAAAAAGAAUACCGGUGGCGAAGGCGACUUACUGGGCUCAUUCUGACGCUGAGGAACGAAAGCGUGGGUAGCAAACAGG
rnacentral:rRNA from 3 species